GGAAAACAUGGGCAAAGAUCUGAGCGAUGACCAGGUGGCCUCCAUGAAAGAAGCCUUCACCCUCUUCGACACCGAUGGGGACGGCCGGAUCGCCCCGUCGGAGCUUGGAAUCCUAAUGCGCUCUCUCGGCGGCAACCCUACCCAAGCCAAGCUCAAGGAGAUCGUAGCCCAAGAAAACCUCACCACCCCCUUCGAUUUCCCCAGAUUCCUCGACCUCAUGUCCAAGCACAUGAAGCCCGAGCCCUUCGAUCGCCAGCUCCGCGAUGCCUUCAAGGUCCUCGAUAAGGAGUCCACCGGCUUCGUCUCCGUCGCCGAUCUCCGCCACAUUCUCACCAGCAUUGGCGAGAAGCUCGAGCCGGCUGAGUUCGACGAGUGGAUCCGGGAAGUCGAUGUCGGGUCCGAUGGGAAGAUCCGUUACGAGGAUUUCAUCUCUCGGAUGGUGG
rnacentral:lncRNA from 1 species